CAGGCUGUUGACAAAAUACCAUAUUGACCAUUUGUAGACAUUAAAUGUUUUUCUGUAACAUGGAACUAUUUAAACUCGGGAAUUUUCUUACAUCUACACAUCUCGUGCACAGCAAGGGCUACAGCCGUGAUAUAUUUACUUAUUUAGAAUACUUACUUAGAAUGGUUAAAAUGUUUUUUUCUUCCGACAGUCUGAUCAUUUUAGAUACCUACCAAUACAGCCGAUUUUAAAUAAAUUCAUGAUUUAAUUUAGACUCCAUGAAACCUGAUAGAAGUGUAGUAUCGAUUUAUUUUUCUCUCGAACGCC
rnacentral:lncRNA from 1 species